GCCAGCAGCUGCAUCCUCAGUCUAAGAUUGCAGCCAAUGAUGAUGUUUUCAUGAAUCCACCGUUCACGUGGCAGCCUCCUGGAGCUCAGACUGAUGCCUGCUCCUCCAGCCUUCCAAUACCUUUGCAAACACCUGAAUUCCACAUUAAUCUCUCUCUGUUUAGAAUACCCAGAGUGGCUUGUGUUUCCUGGGCUGAACCCUGCCUGGAGAGCUGUCCCUGCAAGCUGAACUAACAGAAGAUGAAGAAUGAGGUCUCCCUGAAAUGCCCACCAUAAGACUGCCAGAUAUGGGACUGCUGGAUGACACUCUGGCUACCCCACUGAGUUUUAUGAAAACAUAACAGAAUAAAGACACUUACUUGUCAACUCAGUUACAAGCUAUUGAGGCACUCCAGAGUGACAGCAUGUGAUCCCCCUGACACAAGAAACAGGCCCAGAUAACACACCGUUCAGACCAACAGCAGUUCUGGUUAUGCUGCAGUACAUCAGACGAGUGCUCUUAUCCAUCCACAGUUCUUAUCACAGUUACUUAUGCAUAUAUUCAUUUUUUAUAUAAAAGAAUCUUGAAUCGGUCACUUAAAUAUUGAAUCUCAAUAAUAAAAAAUACUAAAAGUAUA